ensembl:rRNA 5S_rRNA 5S ribosomal RNA
CUGUCUGGACAUACAACCCUGAAUGUGCCCAAUUUUGUCUGAUCUUAGAAGCUAAGUAAGGUCAGGCAAGGUUAGUACAUGGGUGGGAUGGGGUGGGGGAGAAGACAGAGGACCCCACCAAAAAACAUUCCAGUUGUG